AUGGCUAGAAUGAACCUCCCUGCUUCUGUGGACAUUGCAUACAAAAAUGUGAGAUUUCUUAUUACACACAACCCAACCAAUACCUACUUUAAUAGAUUCUUACAGGAACUUAAGCAGGAUGGAGUUACCACCAUAGUAAGAGUAUGAAAAGCAACUUACAACAUUGCUCUUUUAGAGAAGGGAAGCAUCCAGGUUCCGGACUGGCCUUUUGAUGAUGGUACAGCACCAUCCAGCCAGAUAAUUGAUAACUGGUUAAAACUUAUGAAAAAUAAAUUUCAUGAAGAUCCUGGUUGUUGUAUUGCAAUUCACUGUGUUGUAGGUUUUGGGUGAGCUCCAGUUGCUAGUUGCCCUAGCUUUAAUUGAAGGUGGAAUGAAAUAUGAAAAUGUAGUACAGUUCAUCAGAUAAAAGUGACAUGGAACUUUUAACAGCAAACAACUUUUGUAUUUGGAGAAAU
rnacentral:lncRNA from 1 species